UUUGAGUGGGUAGUUUUAAUUUACUUGAAGGUUCUUACCUUGGAACCCAAAAGCAGUAAUAAGUACCCACUCAUACAUAUUUGACAGCUUUCGAGCAGCUUUUUUUUUAUUGUCCGACAUUUUCUCCCUGGGUAAGACGCGUUGUGCCGGGAAGUUUUAUUUUUUUUCGACGCCGCAAGCCGUUCGUUAAAAAAAAUAAAGAACAACAUUGCGACUGGAUCCCGGUAGAACACCAGGACAAUAUUCCGGGUAAGUUUUUGGCUGGAACAUCGUCACCAUGAAAGACUUAGUUCCAACCAAACCUGUGUUUAAGGUUAGGGUUUUUUUUAAAUAUGCCGUACCGAGAAAGUGUUUUUAAAUUUUGUUCCUCUGUUACAGGCUGCAGCCGCUGCGUAUCUGCUGAGAUGAUUACCCAGCUGGUGCUUCUCGUCGAACUGGUGUCGAGAAAUUUCCCCGUUUAUCAGGUGUAAAACGGUGCAGUCGGAGUUCUUCCGGCUUCCGAACCAUACUCCAAUUACGUUACGGAAGAAAAAACGUUCACUUAGCCGCUAGAGAAAUCGGAGCGAACAACACGGACAACAUCCGAAAACGUCAUUUCACUUCAAGAAGAUACCGAGAUGGUCAGAGUAUCAGCAGUUCUAGUCAUUCCGGUACCACUAGUGAAGCCCCAGUUCGGCAGUUCAAGUUCGACCAGGAAGGGAAAUCAAGAAACCGGUGAAUGAAGUGCCUAAAGAGAAGGAAACCUAAACCUAAACAAAAUACUGAUGAUGUUCCAUUGUAGCAGCGAAGCUUCACAGUCGAAUGGAUGCUACAAAUUGGACACUGAUGCGUUCAUAUGGCUAAUAUAUUUAACUGUCCUCGCAAUAUGAUCAUUCAGCAGAAUUAGCAUCAACCGGACAAACUCGCUGAAAAUUACUCAGACUGGAUGGGAAAACGAAAUUGGUUCAUUUUCAACCCGAUUUAAGCCACGAUUCUACUCUAAGCAAUGUUAAAAAUAGGAGCAAUUUAAGUCAACAAGCAUCUAGCGCAAUUCAAUGCACAGUUUGGAUAAAAGAUUAUGUAUUUUGUAAAUAUGAUUAUGUAUGAUAAAAUUUAGAAAGAAAACAGCUAGGGUGCUUAUUGUAAAUUAUAACACUCAUAGAUUGAAAUUAAUAGGUAGUAAAAAACACAAACUAUAUCAGGUAAAACAGUAAGAAUAAGAUCGGAAAAAACAAUUCGUUGAUUGAUGAUCCACAAUUAAUUGUUAAUACUUUCUUUUUUUAAACACAUUAAGUCAAAUGAUCAUUUUUACAACAGCUAUGCGCCGAAUAUCACAAACAAUUUGGUUUUUUCAUGUAUCCAAUAUAGACAGACAUGACGUUAAAUAUAUACAUAUUUAUAGGAUAAAAUGA